GUAAGAACAAUGGCCCCCAUCAAUGUCUCAGUCUCUGGAGAGAUCCCUCCUCUCACUGAGAUGCCCCCAGAGCCCCCAGGUGAGUCUCCUUUCUCCAAAGGACUGUCAGCCUUCUCUCUGGUGAUUUUAGGUUGCUGAGAUGGAAAAUGUGAACAUGGAAAGAGAUGUCUGGUUGCCUCCUCCAACAUCUGUUCCAUCUCUCCUCAUCAUGUGGCAACCACAGAAUCUGCAUGAGAUUGACCUCAUUCCUCCUCCAGCGUUGUCUCUGAAGUAAACAGAUCAGCUUGGUGCUCCUUUUGCUAUAUUGACUGACCCAGGGAUGGACAGCAAUGUCCAAGCAACAUAACCAUUGAGUUCUGGGUGUUCCUCUGACCGAUGUCUGGCUCUGGUUGGCCAAGUCAGAUGAAAUGCAAAACUCCUCUUUAUGGUCAAGGCUAAGCUAAAGUGCCCUGUGUGGUGUGCAGAUGUGUGGCCUAGAACCCCAGCUGCUAAGCGCUUCAGGAAGCAAGCCAUACUGAGGAUGAAGAUGCGUACAGAAGAGGAGGCAGAGCCGGGAGCAUCUCAGAGGAAGAGAACAGGCAUCCUGAUGCAACUGUGCCAGAAAGCCACUCUAGUCUAAGGGUUUCUAUUUCAUGAGGCAAUACACUGCUUUUAUUUUUAAGCCAAUUUGAAUUGGUUUUGUGGUUAUGUGCG
rnacentral:lncRNA from 1 species